UUGGCUAAAUUUGUGCCMGCAGCUGCGGUUAAACAAAAAAUACAAAUAAAUUUUAUAAAUUUAUAAGUUAAAUUGAAUUUAUUUAUUAAAUUAAAAAAAAAAUUUUAGGUGAAAUUUUAUUUUUUUUUAAUUUAUAUAAGAAAUUAUAUUGAAUCUUGAAAAUUUUAUUUUUAAACUAGGAUUAGAUACCCUAUUAUUUAAUUAUUUAUAAAUAUAAAGAUUAAAGUAGUAAUAGUUAUGAUCUUGAAACUUAAAAAAUUUGGCGGUAUUUUAGUCUAUUCAGAGGAACCUGUAUUAUAAUCGAUAAUCCACGAUGGAUCUUACUUAAUUUUGUGAUUUUAUUUGUAUAUCGCCGUUAUUUGAAAAUUUUAUAAGAAAAAUAAUUUUCUAAAAUUUUUAUUAAAAAAUAAAUCAGGUCAAGGUGCAGUUUAUGGUUAAGUUUUAUAUGGGUUACAAUAAAAUUAUUUAUAUGGAUUAAAAAAUGAAAUAUUUUUAAGAAGGKGGAUUUGAUAGUAAAUUUUUAUAGAUAAAAGAAUUGAUUUUAGCUCUAAAAUAUGU
rnacentral:rRNA from 1 species